UGUAAUCCCUCUUAACAAAUAGAGAAGAAUUAAGCAUCAGUAAACAUUGUCAAUACAUACCACAAACUCUUUAGGAAUUUUAAACAAAUUUAUUUUUUUUUGGAGUUCCAGUGGGCUUUUAUUGAGAUAAAUUAACAAAAACCAAGAUUUUACCAUAUUUUUUGAACCUUAUAAACUCAGCAGACUCUGGUCCAUAUAUGUAUACAUACAACAUAACACAUCCCAACAAAAACAGAGCCCCCCACUGGAACAUCUGCCAAUUAAGAGAAAGCCAAUUUUCCCUUCCCCUGAUGUUUCUGAAAUUUUGAGUUCCCACUGUUCACUUCUCAGUGGAACUGGUCCCUUGUGGCUAGGGACAUUGGAAUUCUCUACCAUUUUUACUUAAA
rnacentral:lncRNA from 1 species